rnacentral:lncRNA from 1 species
UCAAUUCUUAUAUUCAUGCACACUUAGAUCAUACAACAUAUAUAUUAUACAUGUGAUAUUUAUCGAUACUGCAGUUCUCGGUAGCUUGGUAAAUGUCCUGUAUCAUUCUGGUAUAAGAUGGUACAAGUAUUGUACUAUAUAUUUUUUCAAUCUGUUUUUAUGAUUUUUCUAAAACUCGAUGCGUACUAAUAUGACGAUGUUUUGUAGAUCGAUAUGUGCCGAUAUUGAUAUUGGUUCAAGUCUUGAUCCAUAUUAAAUUAUGAACUUCGAUAUAUAUAUAUUGAAUUGGAUCACUAGACCUGUAUAACUAGUUCAAACUAUCAUAGACAUCAAGUUUAUUUUUCUGUGCAUGGUUAAUUUUGUAUUGGAGAAUCUAACAAAUAUUCACUUGUUGCAAAUAUUUUUUUCUAAUCUUUGGCAACUUGAUCGAUUAUUCCCGAAUGACCAACCUGUGACUACGUUUCCAGGCAUUAGGUACAGAUUAGAUGUCACCUCGCAAGCUACGCAUAGACUUGAAGAGGGAGAAACAAAUCAGACAAGCUUUUACCUAUCAAUCUAUCAAAUCACAGGUCACAAGUCGGCAUCCGACAAGGUUACAAGCAUGCCUGUAUCUUAAGAGUUGGUCUCUCAGUGCUCAUAUAUGUUUAAGGAGUUGAUGCCUAGGGCUAUUGCUGCAACUUCUCCUGUGGCCAACAACACUUUGCUCACUCCAAGGUGUCCUCUAUGCUCUAUUCAAGGCCAUCAAUGUCGCAACUUAGUUGCCCUUUAACUAGCACUGCCAUGAUGAGAUGCUAAGCAAUGCCACAUCCUAAUCAAAGGCAAAAGAAAGUAGAUUGUUCCUUGUAACCAGUAGAUUGUGAUUGUGCUUGGUCAUUGCUCUCCCCCACUUGCAUGAAAAGUGCAUCUAGAAAGUCAAUUAUAUGAUCUUGAAUUCUGAUUCUACUUUGUGAUGUUGCAUGUAUGGUAUUCAUAAUAGUAGCACAGUGGAAGUGGG